GUGUCUCUCCAUGUACAUCCAAUAAAACUGGAACGAUAUGGAGAAGAUUAUUAGCAUGACCCCCACAAGAAUGAUACACACAAGUCGAGAAAUGGCGUAAAAUCAU